rnacentral:lncRNA from 1 species
GUAGUAUUUCUUACUUAAUUGGAUGGUGACAGAUGAGGUGAUUGUGCUAACCAUGCAUAUCCUUGAAAAGGAGAAGACCAGAUAAGAACAUUAAAUCUGCCACUACAGUAUGAUUCACGAUGAGCUUUGUAAUGCAACUUACUUAUGGAUAACCCAAUUUAGCUAAAUGGUUAUAAAAAAAUAAGUCAAGUACCAAAUUUAAUUUGGGGAGGCAGCUUAGCUUCUUUUUUAUACCUUGCAUUUAAAGGAUGUCCACUGAAGGAUAUGCAAAGAUCAUAUAGCUUUUGAAUGAAACUUAAACUUUCUAGUUUUUGUUUGACUAUUAUUUUGC